GUAGUCCAUGCCGUAAACGAUGUCUACUAGCCGUUGGGGCCUUUGAGGCUUUAGUGGCGCAGCUAACGCGAUAAGUAGACCGCCUGGGGAGUACGGUCGCAAGACUAAAACUCAAAUGAAUUGACGGGGGCCCGCACAAGCGGUGGAGCAUGUGGUUUAAUUCGAUGCAACGCGAAGAACCUUACCUGGUCUUGACAUAGUAAGAACUUUCCAGAGAUGGAUUGGUGCCUUCGGGAACUUACAUACAGGUGCUGCAUGGCUGUCGUCAGCUCGUGUCGUGAGAUGUUGGGUUAAGUCCCGCAACGAGCGCAACCCUUUUCCUUAUUUGCCAGCGGGUUAAGCCGGGAACU
rnacentral:rRNA from 1 species